AUCUCAGAGAGCCCUAAAGUAAAGUGCAAUAACUAACUUCAUAGUCUGGAUCCUCCUCAGAAAACUGGGAAAACGAGGACGGUUCUCACUGGAGUCCCCCAAAGUCCCGGGUCGUGUGUUCGGAUAACUUCGUUUCUGGUAAAUAUAAGGAACAAAAAUCCACCUUCUUAACCACAACUUGGCUAUACGUCCGUGCUAAUGUUGUACUUGUUGAAUUUGUACCUUAUAACGUUCGACAGCUGAAGUUGUUGUUGUACAAAAAUAACAUGCGGUAUAUACUAUAUAGUCUAUAGCCUAGCUAGCUAUUUUCGAAAACCGGACAACGAGAGGAUACCAAAGGCAGCGUUAAGAUGGACACCACCGGGAAAACGUAAGCCAUGGCGGCCAAAGAACACCUGGCGAAGAACAGUUGAAGGGGAGCUGAAAGAGAUGAAGCUUACAUGGGGCGAGGCACAGAGACGAGCACAGCAGCGAGAUGAAUGGCGUCGAGUCGUCGAAGCCUUAUUUCCCAUCCGGGAAGAAGAGGAUUAAGUUAAUUUGACAAAUUCCUCAGUAUAUUCACCAAGAUGUCAUCGAGGAGCUAUUGAGUCUGUUUAGCCGAUUGGAGCGCUAACUUCCGCAGCUGGUGGAUCCAUGACGAGGACUUCUGUUCUGUUUGAUAAGCCGUGUUACUGCUGUGUGACAGGCACCGUUUGGAAACAAUUAAGGUCCACAAACCAAAUAGGCAGUGCUGGAACUCCAUCUCAAAACGUCUCCCUGGGAAAAGAAAUGAA